rnacentral:rRNA from 1 species
GACAGAGGGUGCAAACGUUGUUCGGAAUUACUGGGCGUAAAGCGCACGUAGGCGGCUUUGUAAGUCAGAGGUGAAAGCCCGGAGCUUAACUCCGGAAUAGCCUUUGAGACUGCAUCGCUUGAAUCCAGGAGAGGUGAGUGGAAUUCCGAGUGUAGAGGUGAAAUUCGUAGAUAUUCGGAAGAACACCAGUGGCGAAGGCGGCUCACUGGACUGGUAUUGACGCUGAGGCACGAAAGCGUGGGGAGCAAACAGG